AUCCAGCUGACGAGAACGAAACACGCGUCCUGGAU
rnacentral:hammerhead_ribozyme from 1 species